CCCUUAGAUGUUCUGGGCCGCACGCGCGCUACACUGAUGCAUUCAACGAGUCUAAAACCUGGUCUGAUAGGGCUGGGUAAUCUUUUGAAAGUGCAUCGUGAUUGGGAUAGAUGAUUGCAAUUCUUCAUCUUCAACGAGGAAUGCCUAGUAAACGCAAGUCAUCAGCUUGCAUUGAUUACGUCCCUGCCCUUUGUACACACCGCCCGUCGCUCCUACCGAUUGAAUGAUCCGAUGAAUACCAUGGAUUGAGAGUACGAAUAGGUUCGCUUAUUUCUGCUGCUCGAGAAGUGGAGUAAAUCUUAUCAUUUAGAGGAAGGAGAAGUCGUANCA
rnacentral:rRNA from 1 species